AGUCACGGCUAACUACGUGCCAGCAGCCGCGGUAAUACGUAGGUGGCAAAUGUUGUCCGGAAUCAUUGGGCGUAAAGGGUCCGUAGGUGGCAUAAAAAGUCUUAUGUGAAAUCUCUUGGCUCAACCAAGAAACGCCAUAAGAAACUUUUAUGCUAGAGAUCAUCAGAGGGAGGUAGAAUUCCAGGUGUAGUGGUGAAAUGCGUAGAUAUCUGGAGGAAUACCAAUGGCGAAAGCAGCCUCCUGGGGUGAAUCUGACAUUGAGGGACGAAAGCGUGGGUAGCAAACCGGAUUAGAUACCCGGGUAGUCCAUGCCGUAAACGAUGAAUACUGGGUCUUCGGGGAAUCGACCCCCUGUGGACCGAAGCUAACGCGUUAAGUAUUCCGCCUGGGGAGUACGGUCGCAAGACUAAAACUCAAAGGAAUUGACGGGGGCCCGCACAAGCAGCGGAGCGUGUGGUUUAAUUCGAUGGUAAACGAAGAACCUUACCUAGGUUUGACAUAUAAGUAGUACUGACCCGAAAGGUGAUGGACCCGCAAGGGAGCUUAUACAGGUGCUGCAUGGUUGUCGUCAGCUCGUGCCGUGAGGUGUUGGGUUAAGUCCCGCAACGAGCGCAACCCUCGUGGAUAGUUGUUUUCUUUAUCCAGACUGCUUUUACAAGAGGAAGGUGGGGAUGACGUCAAAUCAUCAUGGCUCUUACACCUAGGGCUACACACACGCUACAAUGGACAGUACAGACGGUUGCUAAGUCGCAAGAUGGAGCCAAUCCGAUAAAGCUGUCCCCAAUUGGGAUUGUAGGCUGAAACUCGCCUGCAUGAACCUGGAGUUGCUAGUAACCGCAGAUCAGAAUGCUGCGGUGAAUACGUUCCCGGGCCUUGUACACACCGCCCGUCACGUCAUGGAAGUUUGAAACACUUGAAGUCGCUGGGCUUACCUUUUAGGAGGCAGGCGCCGAGAGUGGGGCAAAUGACUGGGACGAAGUCGUAACAAGGUAGCUGUACCGGAAGGUGCGGCUG
rnacentral:rRNA from 1 species